rnacentral:lncRNA from 1 species
AAAACCCCCAACCUCCCACUCCCUGUGGAUAGGUUUAGCAGCUGGUCUGCAGGCUAAACAACUGAAUUGGCAGAAGACGAAAUUGAUAAAAUGCAAGUUUAUCCAUAGCAAAGAAGAAAGCAAGGCCAUUAGCAUGGAAACCAAUAAAAUAGACACAUAAGGGAUAUUUGAGUUAGAGGAUACGUGCCGGAGUGAGCUGCAUACGUCCCUAAAUAAUUUGUUGUAAACUCUUACCAAUUAAUUAUUGACGUUAAUUACUUUGUACCAAUAAAGUACAAUGAGCUAUUGCUUUGUCCAAUUAAUAUAAUGAGCUGUUUUGAUGUAACUAAUGACUGAAGAUCUCACUUUGUUAAGGGUAUAAAACUUAAGAACAACUUGUAACAAAGAGAAGCCACUGUUGUCUCUGCACGUGUGUUCUCAUUAUGAUCUAAAAUAUUUCUGCUAGAUUUGGCUUAAUUUCUUUACCCUGUCACCCUCAUUUUUAGAGCUUCAUGGUCAAUAUAAGAUUUUGCUUUGCAAUUGUUCUGGUUUGAAAGCAAAACCAGUGAGAGACUCCAAGUCAGAAAUACAAUUUAUUGGGAAAAGGGAAAUGAAACAAAAUACAUGCAAUAAUACAAAAGGAAGACCAUUGACAAAGUCAGAAUACAACCUGACACCCCUUUGGCCAGCGUGUUGGUAGCAGUCCAAACUGGAGUGGCUGCAGUCCUCCUGGAGUGGCAGAUGUGGUUUCUGUUUUUGCAGUGGUCCUGUGGAAAAGGUUUAGUCUGUCAAGUGGAAAACCCCAGCUGUGUCCUCUUGGAAACCUGUGGGAAGGCUGCCUGCUCUGUCCAAAAUCCCAGAAUAUAUCUAGGUGGCGAUGCUUGCUCCUCCCCCUGGGCAGAGCAUCUCACCAUGGGCAGAUGUCAUUCUGAGUCACUUGGUGGGUCCUUGAUCACCCGUUAAAUAGCAAAUGGCUCCUGGAGGGAGUUGUCUGAGUCAUGUGGGAGACAUUGAUGGGCCAUUAACAGGAGAUAAGGAAAACUGCCCAGAGGCAACUGCUACACUGAUGGUAAUAGAAAACAUCCUGCUUCUCAAUCUCGGACAGAUUUCAAUCCCUGAGAAAAGAAAUGGAAUGUAUUGAUGAUGAAAAUAUUGAAAAUGUCAGAGCUCUAGGACUGGAACAAUUAUAGGCAAAGCAUUUAUUGAAAAACUUCAUCCAUCAUGCCUUUCAUUAUGCAAUUUAAUAAUGGUAACCACCCGUGAACAGUUAAUUCUAACCUUCUUUCACUUUCAUACUUAAUCAAGAAGAGUUUUAGCCGAAGACUGAAUGUUUCAAAUUUGUGUGAUAAACUUGUCUGACUUGAUCCUGCUUUCAUGAAAAGAAAGAAAAAGAAAAAGAAAAAGAAAAAGAAAAAGAAAAA